GACGAACGCUGGCGGCGUGCUUAACACAUGCAAGUCGAACGGAAAGGCCCGCUUGCGGGUGCUCGAGUGGCGAACGGGUGAGUAACACGUGGGUAACCUGCCCCCUGCUUCGGGAUAACUCCGGGAAGCCGGGGCUAAUACCGGAUGUUCAUUGCUGGCCGCAUGGUUGGUGGUGGAAAGUUUUUCGGCUGGGGAUGGGCCCGCGGCCUAUCAGCUUGUUGGUGGGGUGAUGGCCUACCAAGGCUUCGACGGGUAGCCGGCCUGAGAGGGCGACCGGCCACACUGGGACUGAGACACGGCCCAGACUCCUACGGGAGGCAGCAGUGGGGAAUAUUGCGCAAUGGGUGGAAGCCUGACGCAGCGACGCCGCGUGAGGGAUGACGGCCUUCGGGUUGUAAACCUCUUUCAGCAGGGACGAAUUGUGACGGUACCUGUAGAAGAAGCACCGGCCAACUACGUGCCAGCCGCCGCCGUAAAAC
rnacentral:rRNA from 1 species